CGGUCAGCGCUCGCUGGG
rnacentral:miRNA from 1 species